GGACCCUGGGAAAAGGAUUGCAACAGCUGGUGGAAACCAUAACUUGGACUGAGGAGAAAAAAAACUCAUUAUUUCUAACCUGAAGCUUUCCUGAUAUGAUGAUGUCAUCACCGCUUCUACACUUGACAUGACGUUAUUUUAUUCUUGGUGAUUACAUGAAGACAAACAUCAGUGGCUGGAUAUAAUGACCUCUCUUUUAUCUUGUGUAUAUAAGCAGUUCUAACUCAUUAAAGACUGUGAGCAUGGUGG
rnacentral:lncRNA from 1 species